rnacentral:rRNA from 1 species
UACGGAGGAUGCGAGCGUUAUCCGGAUUUAUUGGGUUUAAAGGGUGCGUAGGCGGGCUUUUAAGUCAGCGGUAAAAAUUCGGGGCUCAACCCCGUCCGGCCGUUGAAACUGGGGGUCUUGAGUGGGCGAGAAGAAGGCGGAAUGCGUGGUGUAGCGGUGAAACGCAUAGAUAUCACGCAGAACCCCGAUUGCGAAGGCAGCCUUCCGGCGCCCUACUGACGCUGAGGCACGAAAGUGCGGGGAUCGAACAGG